rnacentral:rRNA from 1 species
GAUGAACGCUGGCGGCGUGCCUAACACAUGCAAGUCGAGCGAUUUACUUCGGUAAAGAGCGGCGGACGGGUGAGUAACGCGUGGGUAACCUGCCCUGUACACACGGAUAACAUACCGAAAGGUAUGCUAAUACGAGAUAAUAUACUUUUAUCUCAUGGUAGAAGUAUCAAAGCUCUUGCGGUACAGGAUGGACCCGCGUCUGAUUAGCUAGUUGGUAAGGUAACGGCUUACCAAGGCGACGAUCAGUAGCCGACCUGAAAGGGUGAUCGGCCACAUUGGAACUGAGAAACGUGCCAAACUCCUACGGGAGGCAGCAGUGGGGAAUAUUGCACAAUGGGCGAAAGCCUGAGGCAGCAACGCCGCGUGAGCGAUGAAGGCCUUCGGGUCGUAAAGCUCUGUCCUCAAGGAAGAUAAUGACGGUACUUGAGGAGGAAGCCCCGGCUAACUACGUGCCAGCCGCCGCCGUAAGAC